UACGGGAGGCAGCAGGGGGAAUAUUGCACAAUGGGCGCAAGCCUGAUGCAGCCAUGCCGCGUGUAUAAAGAAGGCCUUCGGGUUGUAAAGUACUUUCAGUCGUGAGGAAGGUGUUAAGGUUAAUAACCUUAGCAAUUGACGUUAGCGACAGAAGAAGCACCGGCUAACUCCGUGCCAGCAGCCGCGGUAAUACGGAGGGUGCGAGCGUUAAUCGGAAUUACUGGGCGUAAAGGGCACGCAGGCGGUUAAUUAAGUUGGAUGUGAAAUCCCCGGGCUUAACCUGGGAAUGGCAUUCAAGACUGGUUAGCUAGAGUCUUGUAGAGGGGGGUAGAAUUCCAUGUGUAGCGGUGAAAUGCGUAGAGAUGUGGAGGAAUACCGGUGGCGAAGGCGGCCCCUGGACAAAGACUGACGCUCAUGUGCGAAAGCGUGGGGAGCAAACAGGGAUUAGGAUA
rnacentral:rRNA from 1 species